rnacentral:rRNA from 1 species
AUCAGCCCUGCCCGCGUGAGCUGAGAAGGCCUUUUGGUCUGUAAAGCUCUUUACUCAGGUGAAGAAGACCUAACGGCUUAGUACCCGUUACCGAUGACAUUAGCGUGCCCAAUAACCACCGGCUAACUCUGUGCCAUCACCCGCGCGAAUACUAGGGUGCAAGCGUUAGUCGAAAUUACUGGUCGUAAUGCAAGCGUAGGUGUCUUGAUCAGUCAGAUGUGACAUCCCCGGCCUUAACCUGUGAACUGCAUCUGAUACUGUUAAACUCCAGUAGGUGAGAGGAAAUUAGAAUUCCUGGUGUAGCGUUGAAAUGCGUAAAGAUCUGCACGAAUACCGAUGGCAAACGCAGCUUCCUGGCCUCGUACUGACACUGAGGCUCGAUAGCGUGGGUAGCAAACCAGAUUACAUACCCUGGUAGUCCACGCCGUAUACGAUGUCUACUACUCGUUGGGUCCCUUGAGGACUUACUGACGCAACUACGCUCUAAGUAGACCGCCUGGGGAGUACGGCCGCAAGGUUAAAACUCAAAUGAAUUGACUGGGGCCCUCACAAGCGGUGGAACAUGUGGUUUAAUUCUAUGCAUCGCGAAGAACCUUACCUGGUCUUGACAUACACAUUAAUCUUGUAUAGAUACGAGAGUGCCUUCGGUAAUUGUGAUACAGGUGCUGCAUGGCUGUCGUCAGCUCGUGUCGUGAGAUGUUGGGUUAAGUCCCGCAACGAGCGCAACCCUUGUCCUUAGUUACCAGCUGCUUAAGCCGGCUCA